GCGAACGGGUGAGUAACACGUGAGCAACCUGCCCCUGACUCUGGGAUAAGCGCUGGAAACGGCGUCUAAUACUGGAUAUGUGACGUGACCGCAUGGUCUGCGUUUGGAAAGAUUUUUCGGUUGGGGAUGGGCUCGCGGCCUAUCAGCUUGUUGGUGAGGUAAUGGCUCACCAAGGCGUCGACGGGUAGCCGGCCUGAGAGGGUGACCGGCCACACUGGGACUGAGACACGGCCCAGACUCCUACGGGAGGCAGCAGUGGGGAAUAUUGCACAAUGGGCGAAAGCCUGAUGCAGCAACGCCGCGUGAGGGAUGACGGCCUUCGGGUUGUAAACCUCUUUUAGCAGGGAAGAAGCGAAAGUGACGGUACCUGCAGAAAAAGCGCCGGCUAACUACGUGCCAGCAGCCGCGGUAAUACGUAGGGCGCAAGCGUUAUCCGGAAUUAUUGGGCGUAAAGAGCUCGUAGGCGGUUUGUCGCGUCUGCUGUGAAAUCCCGAGGCUCAACCUCGGGCCUGCAGUGGGUACGGGCAGACUAGAGUGCGGUAGGGGAGAUUGGAAUUCCUGGUGUAGCGGUGGAAUGCGCAGAUAUCAGGAGGAACACCGAUGGCGAAGGCAGAUCUCUGGGCCGUAACUGACGCUGAGG
rnacentral:rRNA from 1 species